GAAUAUUGGACAAUGGGCGAAAGCCUGAUCCAGCCAUGCCGCGUGUGUGAAGAAGGUCUUCGGAUUGUAAAGCACUUUAAUUGGGGGGGAAGGGCGGUAGGCGAAUCCCUUGCUGUUUUGCGGUUACCGACGGAAUAUGCACCGCCUACUUCUGUGCAGCAAGCCGCGGUAAUACAGAGGGUGCAAGCGUUAAUCGGAAUUACUGGGCGUAAAGCGCGCGUAGGUGGUUCGGUAAGUUGGAUGUGAAAUCCCCGGGCUCAACCUGGGAACUGCAUCCAAAACUGGCGAGCUAGAGUAGGGCAGAGGGUGGUGGAAUUUCCUGUGUAGCGGUGAAAUGCGUAGAUAUAGGAAGGAACACCAGUGGCGAAGGCGACCACCUGGGCUCAUACUGACACUGAGGUGCGAAAGCGUGGGGAGCAAACA
rnacentral:rRNA from 1 species